rnacentral:rRNA from 1 species
GACGAACGCUGGCGGCGUGCUUAACACAUGCCAGUCGAACGGAAAGGCCCUGCUUUUGUGGGGUGCCCGAGUGGCGAACGGGUGAGUAACACGUGAGUAACCUGCCCUUGACUUUGGGAUAACUUCAGGAAACUGGGGCUAAUACCGGAUAGGAGCUCCUGCUGCAUGGUGGGGGUUGGAAAGUUUCGGCGGUUGGGGAUGGACUCGCGGCUUAUCAGCUGGUUGGGGGGGUAGUGGCCUACCAAGGCUUUGACGGGUAGCCGGCCUGAGAGGGUGACCGGCCACAUUGGGACUGCGAUACGGCCCAGAGUCCUACGGGAGGCAGCAGUGGGGAAUAUUGCACAGUGGGCGGAAGCCUGAUGCAGCAACGCCGCGUGCGGGAUGACGGCCUUCGGGUUGUAAACCGCUUUCGCCUGUGACGAAGCGUGAGUGACGGUAAUGGGUAAAGAAGCACCGGCUAACUACGUG